GAACCAGAUGAGGUGGCUUGGGCAUCUGAUUCGGAUGCCUCCUGAGCGCCUCCCCGGUGAGGUGUUCCGGGCAUGUCCCACCGGGAGGAGACCCAGAGGAAGACCCAGGACACACUGGAGAGACUAUGUCACCCAGCUGGCCUGGGAACGCCUCGGGAUCCCCCGGGGAGAGCUGGAAGAAGUAGCUAGAGGGAAGUCUGGGCUUCCCU